UGUGAUCCCUUUGGUCGGGUGGGAGGGGUUACAAGGCGCCCUGCUGCCGCAGAGCGGAGUGGUCGAGCAGGCACAUAGGUUCGAAUCAUGUCCUGCAAGUAGAUGGGGGCUGUCCUGUUGGCUGCAGUGUAGGCAAGGGUCAGGGCUUUGAACUGAAUCCUGGCAGUGACCGGUAGCCAGUGGAAUGAUCGCAGCAGAGGAGUGAUGUGGGAGAAUUUGGGAAGGUUGUAGAUGAGUCGGGCAGCGGCAUUCUGAAUCAUCUGUAGUGGCUGUAUAGCACAAGCUGGCAGGGUUGCAAGGAGAGUUGCAGUAAUCAAGGCGAGAGGUCACCGUAGCCUGGACGAGCAGCUGGGUGGAGUGCGUUGUCAGGUAUGGUCGAAUCCUUCUGAUGUUGUACAGAAGGAAUCUGCAGGACCGUGAUGUUGCCUUGAUGUGCUCCUUGAGGUCCAGUUGGUCAUCCAGGACCACCCUCCAAGCUCUUGGUAGAGUGAGAGGCAGUCACUGUGGUGCCAUCAACCGUGAUUGAGAGCUCACACAGUAAGGAGGUCUUGCAUGAGAAGAAGAGCAGCUCAGUUUUGUUGAGGUUGAGCUUCAGGUGGUGGGUGGCCAUCCAGGUGGAGAUGUCAGCCAGACAGGAAGAUAUCUUAUCAUCGACCUGUGUGGCCGAGGAGGGGAAAGAAAAGAAGAGUUGCGUGUCAUCUGCAUAACAAUAAUAGGAGAAGCCAUGUGAAUUAAUAACUGAACCAAGAGAUUUGGUGUAUAAGGAGAACAGCAGAGGACCCAGUACAGAUCUCUGCGGCACUCCCGUAACAAGGGGAUAAGAAGCAGAGGUAGACCCCAUCCAGGUGACCUGGUAGGACCUGCAAGAUAGGAAGCGAACCAAGACAGGGCAGUCCCAGCAAUGGCCAUCUCAGCCAAGGUGGAGAGGAGUAUUUUAUGGUUGACCGUGUCGAAAGCUGCAGACAGGUCAAGAAGGAUCAGGACAGAGGAGAGGCGUGAGGCUCUUGCAGUGGCAAGUGCCUCCAUCACAGCCAGGAGCGCAGUCUCUGUUGAGUGCCCGGAUCGGAAGCCAGACUGGUGAGGGUCUAGCAGGUUGUUCUGAUGGAGAAAAGAGGUUAGUUGUUUAAGAACUGCUCGUUCAAGGGUUUUGGACAGAAAGGGUAGAAGCGAUACGGGUCAAUAAUUCAUUACAUCGGAGGGGUCUGAGGUGGGUUUUUUGAGAAGUGGAGUAACACGAUCCAUCUUAAAAUCAGAGGGAACAUGACCAGAGGCAAGAGAGGAGUUAACAAUGGAGGACAGAUAGGGAAGGAUCUCGCUGGAAAUGGAUUGGAGAACUGUAGAUGUAGGGUCAAGUGGACAGGUGGUUGCACGAUGAGAGGUGAUGAGUUGUAGUACAUCGGAGUCCUCCAGCAUCUCAAAGGAGGUCAGUGGUGUAUUCCUGCCUCUCGUCCAAUGCACGCUGUGUUACGUCGCCUGCCACGCCUUUACCUCGUAGAUAUUUUAUUUUUUGUAUGAUCUUUGGAGGCGUGGUUUGUCACUGACAUUUCUCAGCUGUUGCCAGUGUCUCACUCAGCAGGCAUUUGCACGCCUUUCACUUGUUUCUGUAAUUGUGUGCACCGGUUUCCACCGUUCAAAUUCCCUGUUCACCAGUCACUCAGUGCGAGAUUGUUGCCCCAGUUUACUGUGCCAGUCAAGCGUUUGUUCCUGCUAUUCUGAUUGCCUGUUCGUUUGAUCCUUGCCUGUUUCCUGACCACCGGUUUCUGCCUGCCCAUUUCCUGACCAGACUGUCUCAUUUUGACCCUGAUUCUUCGCCUGCCAUGUACGAACCUUUGCCUCGGACUGCCCUGAACACCGACCCUCGCCUGUUACUGGACUACGGACCUGCUUCUGCCCCUUUUGUACUGUUGCUCCGCUGCUUGAUUUAAUGGUUUACAAACUUUGCCUGGACUUUGAUUACGAGACAUAUUAUUCCCUUUUGUACUGUGCACCGCUGAUUGAUUUCCUGGAUCACAAACUGUUGCCUGUUAAACUGACUACGAGUGUGCUUAUCCCUCAAAUAAAUCUCAGUUUAAUUAUUA